CACGUAGGGUGCGAGCGUUGUCCGGAAUUAUUGGGCGUAAAGAGCUCGUAGGCGGUCUGUCGCGUCGGUCGUGAAAACCUGCAGCUUAACUGUGGGCGCGCGGUCGAUACGGGCAUGACUGGAGUUCGGCAGGGGAGACUGGAAUUCCUGGUGUAGCGGUGAAAUGCGCAGAUAUCAGGAGGAACACCGGUGGCGAAGGCGGGUCUCUGGGCCGAUACUGACGCUGAGGAGCGAAAGCGUGGGGGAGCGAACAGG
rnacentral:rRNA from 1 species